UUAUAACGUGAGAUUUCACAUUCCAUCUCAAAACUGUUUGCCUCCCUCAAAUUAUUUUAGAAAUUCACGUUCCUGCUCCCCCAAAUCCAUUAACCCUAAAUUGAGUGUUCCAACACCAAACUAAAAUUCAAGAAAACCCUUUAAUCCCAAGGCGUCAAAUAGCAACCAUCAGGAGUAUUCCAACAUUAAUAUUCAGACUUUUCAAAGAGCCCUACAGUUUUCAUCCAACUUCAUCGUCUUCAUCACAACCAAUCUUCACUUUCAUUCGGAUUGUGAAGGAUCGGAGGGAUCUGGCUUGAAGUUGCACUAUCCUAAAAUUGGUCUUUGUGGGGGACAGAAAGUGAACUUAAUGCUGAAAUUGAGCGCCUUAAAGCAGAAGUUGUGAAGGCAAAAAAAGCCUUAGAUCAUGCUACUCCUGGGGACAUAAGAAGGGGGAUCAGUUGUAUCCGGAGAAUCUGCAGGGACUACAUCAUAUCUAGAGUGUAUGGUUCAAUUAUAGAGUUGCUUGAAUGUGAUGAAAAUUUAUUUACUGCUGUUGAAGUCACCGCUGGAAACAGGCAUGCGCGAGCCCUUGACAGUCAUCUUCUAUAUUUACUUGCUUACAUUAUUUUAUAAACCAUUGUAUAAUUUUUUUAUACCAAAUUUACACAAUACCUUUUGAAAAAGGGGUAUACAAGGAUAGAAAAAGAAUGAGAAUCAGAGAUAUGGCUUACUUUUAUAUUUUAGUAACAAAAUAGCAAAAUGGAUCUUAAAAUUUUAAUACGUAAUUGAAAAUUUACCAAGAAAUUACUAAAAAUACCCUUACUUUUAUCCUUAAAAUCAUAAAAAUACCUUCUAGUUAACAUACAAUAUGGAUGGAGUUUAGGUCAGGGAUCUGACCCUCGCCACGUGUCGAGCAAUGCCCCCAACCCAAACCCCUCCAAACAUCAUAGUCUCAUGGACUUCAACUUUUAAAUUGUUAUUUAUUAGAGAUAGUUUGUUUAAUUUAAUUUUUUUUUCUUCCAUUCACCAACUGUAACUUUUGAAUUUUUGGUGAAGAUCCCAUCCACUUUUUUUCUUCCCCACUUUCCAAAUUUGAAGCAUUUGGAGUUUAAAGGUUCUUGGGGUCUGGUUUAAUCCUUGAUUUUCUUGAAAGUUGUCCUGACUUGAAACAUCUCUAUAUUGAAAAGGUUCUCACUGGUUUGAACAGAAGGUUGUUCCAGCUUGUAUGCUAACAAAUCUUACAUCUAUCAAGUUUUCAAUAUGCAAGGGAUGGAAAUGCGAUAUGCCAUUGCUGAAAUACAUGUUGGGGAAUGCAGAGGUGUUGAACAGGUGAAGAGGAGUGAGGCAUAGAGAAGCUGCAGAGAAAUGUUUGGUAGUCCAUGAAGAUUGAGGACGCAUGAUGACUCAAGAUUUUAUGCUUCGUAUUUCUUUAAUUGCUUUUAAUUUCUUUGUUAAAUGUUAAGACUUUAUGUUAGAUAAUGUGAUAACUUAUUUAUGGUUAGUAUUUUUGUUAU
rnacentral:lncRNA from 1 species